AGAGUUUGAUUAUGGCUCAGAACGUACGCUGGCGGCACGCCUAACACAUGCAAGUCGAACGAAGUAGCAAUACUUAGUGGCAGACGGGUGAGUAACAUGUAGGUAUCUGCCCUUUGGCCUGGAAUAACACGAGGAAACUUGUGCUAAUACCGGAUAAGUCUUUACGGAGAAAGCUUUAUGCACCAUUGGAUGAGCCUGCACUUGAUUAGUUUGUUGGUGGGGUAAUGGCCUACCAAGACUGUGAUCAAUAGCUGAUUUGAGAGGAUGAUCAGCCACAUUGGGACUGAGACACGGCCCAAACUCCUACGGGAGGCAGCAGCGGGGAAUCUUGCACAAUGGAGGAAACUCUGAUGCAGCGAUGCCGCGUGAGUGAAGAAGGCCCUUGGGUUGUAAAGCUCUUUCGUCGGGGAAGAAAAUGACUGUACCCGAAUAAGAAGGUCCGGCUAACUUCGUGCCAGCAGCCGCGGUAAUACGAAGGGACCUAGCGUAGUUCGGAAUUACUGGGCUUAAAGAGUUCGUAGGUGGUUGAAAAAGUUAGUGGUGAAAUCCCAGAGCUUAACUCUGGAACUGCCAUUAAAACUUUUCAGCUAGAGUAUGAUAGAGGAAAGCAGAAUUUCUAGUGUAGAGGUGAAAUUCGUAGAUAUUAGAAAGAAUACCAAUUGCGAAGGCAGCUUUCUGGAUCAUUACUGACACUGAGUCCAUGCCGUAAACGAUGUGUGUUAGACGUUGGAAAUUUAUUUUCAGUGUCGCAGCGAAAGCGAUAAACACACCGCCUGGGGAGUACGACCGCAAGGUUAAAACUCAAAUGAAUUGACGGGGACCCGCACAAGUAGUGGAGCAUGUGGUUUAAUUCGAAGAUACGCGCAGAACCUUACCAACACUUGACAUGUUCGUCGCGACUCUAAGAGAUUAGAGUUUUCGGUUCGGCCGGACGAAACACAGGUGCUGCAUGGCUGUCGUCAGCUCGUGUCGUGAGAUGUUGGGUUAAGUCCCGCAACGAGCGCAACCCUCACUUUUAGUUGCCAUCAUUAAGUUGGGCACUCUGAAAGAACUGCCAGUGAUAAGCUGGAGGAAGGUGGGGAUGACGUCAAGUCCUCAUGGCCCUUACGUGUUGGGCUACACACGUGCUACAAUGGUAUCUACAACAGGAAGCAAGACUGCGAAGUUAAGCAAAUCCCUAAAAGAUACCUCAGUUCGGAUUGCACUCUGCAACUCGAGUGCAUGAAGCUGGAAUUACUAGUAAUCGUGGAUCAGCGUGCCACGGUGAAUGCGUUCCCGGGUCUUGUACACACCGCCCGUCACACCAUGGGAGUUGGUUCUACCUUAAGGCAAGGUUUCAAACCCUUGACCACGGUAUAGUCAGCGACUGGGGUGAAGUCGUAACAAGGUA
rnacentral:rRNA from 1 species